rnacentral:rRNA from 1 species
GAAGCCCCCGUCUCACUGUCCACCACGUACCAACAGCAGUCGAGCACAGCACUCUACAACCCAAUUCAGGGCGUUGCUCGCGUUGGGAACUAGAAUCAACGGUCGUAAGUCAACCCGUGAGAUUCCACUGACGGCCACUGUUUGGCCUCCUUCCACCCCUACUGCAGUUUAGUAGUACGGGGAAUACUGGACCCGAUGUGUGCACGAUGUUACCCGUCUUGUUUCCCGUCGCUUCGGCGCUCCGAUUCGGUUAGGGUGUUUAGACAAGAGUCAAGCCUAGCGUCAGACGUUGAGCUGACGCACUUCGACCUUAGCGAUCAUUAGCGCCUAGUCGUACGGCGCCACUUAUGCAAGGGCCCGGAACAUGUGUGGCGGGCAGUGUGGUGCUCUCAAACAUUGUGGGCUUC